GCUCAACUUCCUACCUGAUACAUAGCUUCCUGUCACCAUGAUAGUAUUCAUACUAGCCUCUAAGUCACUCGUUUUAUCAUUACCUCAGUAUAUUAAUAUAAUCAUUUUUCUAUAGCUUUUUUAAAAAUAUAUUAUUUUUGAAAAUUGUGUUUAUCCGUUCAGUUAGUGAUUUUUGUAAUUCGAUUAUUGUGUUCUGUGUCUUUUUUUGUCUCGUUUAGCUAGCUAUUAACGCGCUUACCAUGCCGUUGUUUUACACAAGGUGCUUGAAGAGCUGCCAAAGGUAACAGUGACAGGUGUACAUCGUCUGGCCAAGACAAUUAGCAAAGCACCGACCUCCAAGUUGGAAAAAGGUUUAAAACUUUGUCUCCAGUUACCUUUUCUACUAUGAAGGUUGUACUGAAGCGCUCUGAGCCAGAAACAAUGACACAUCACGUGUGUUCAUGUGUUGCUGGCACUGCAUUAUGCAACCAAACAGUUGCAUUACUAUUCCAGUCUGCACACUAUUCCCAGAUGGGAACAUCAGUCAUCUCACCUGUGCACAGAGGCCAGGCAGCAGUGUCAUAAGCCCAGGACUAUGGGUCUGAAACCUGGGCCUAUAGGCAAAAUGACCAUCAUAUGCAAAAUGACCGUCAUAGGCAAAAUGACCAUCACCAAGACCACCAAAAAGUGCAUGGCAGAAAGAGGGAUUAGAUGAGUAUUCCCUAAUAGCCAGUAUAGUAGGUAGUAGCUGGUCAUGUCCUAUUACACUUUGACUAUAUAAAAUGAUUUCAUUUCAGGUGGUUUCAAGUACGUUGUUUAGAUUGGCUAACCACAGCGGCUGCUUUGCUUUGCAGAAGUACACACCCUUCUUGGACCGCUCCCUGACCUCUCAGUUCUUCAGAUAGAAGAGGCAUAAAAUAACUUUAUCCAAGCCAUUGAUCUGCAGCAUGGGGAUGUCUGCUGAAAAGCUUUUAGCCAAGGAAAGGUGCAAGUGGGGAGGCUCCUGUCUUAUCAGCAGCCACCAAUCACAAUGCAACACAUAGUUCACCAUACGGAGACACCACCAUUCCCUUCACUGCCCCUGGAUUGCUACAGACUGGAGAACAACUUUCAAGGCUGCCCAUUUGUGUUCAGUGAAGGAGACCAGCUUCACAUAGUCUCUUCAGGUGAGCUUCGCAACAGCCCAUAAAAUAGAGGAAGCUACUAGAGAACAGAGUGCUUUCUCCGACUGGCAGGUGCUACGGAAAUCAAGACUGACCUCGUCAUGGUUCUGAGAGGCUUGCCAUGUGAGAGUGCCUGCGGAUGUCUGCCAUCUAGCUGAAAGGAUCCUCAAAGGCACAGCACCAACAGCUGACAUGAAGAGGGGACUGGAGUUGGAAGCAGCCAGUGACUACUGCAAGAUGCAGAAUGUCAAAUUCUCACCCUGUGGCCUCCUCAUACAUCCUGACAUCCCUUGGUUUGCUUCUUCUCCUGAUGGCCUGGUCUACUACAACCCUCUCGAGCAUCCACCUUUUGGCCUAGUUGAGAUUAAGUAAACGUAAAAGAUUUUGUGGAUUGUAAGUACGUUCACAUGCAUAACGGUGAACCUUCCCUGAAGAGGCAUACCUACUACUGGCAAGUUCAAGGUCAGCUCUACAUCACUGAGUUGGAGUGGUGUGACUUUGUUGUCUGUGGACAUGAGGACAUUCUGUUUGAGAUAGUACAGAGACCCAGUGGUGUUCACACUAAUUAGAGUGAAGGGUGACUGGUACUACUUAUAUGUGUACAUGCAAAGGUUAUUAGGCAGGAAAGCCUAAAUAACUCCAGACAGGCUCCUGUACCUUUUCAAUUAAUGAAAGAGAAACAAACUAACAAAUCUGUCUGUGCAAUUAAUUAAUGAAUAAGUCAUUUUAAAUAAUUCAGUAACAUUUUUUCAGUUCUCUUGUCACUGUAAAUAAAAAUUCUGUCCAACA